GGUUCUUCCUGGAGCCAGGAUUUCUGCUCAGCUCUUUGCCUCAGGAAAUUAGAAGUUGUCUUCUUUCCUGUGCCUUUGGUUCUGGGGAGAACGUUGGUCAUCUCAGCAGCUGCACUAUGGAAAAUACCUACUCUGUUUCAAAGUCAAUAUAGAUUUGCUUUGUGACCAAGUGGACAAUUUUAGAGAAGAUCCCAUGAUGUGAUGAGAAGAAGGUAUAUUCUUUUGUUUUUGAGUGAACUUUUCUGUAAAUAUCCAUUAAGUAUCUUGAGUUUGAUGUGUGUAUUUGGGGCAUAAAUGUUAACAACUGAGACUUCAUUUUGAUGUAUUUCCUCUUUGAAUAUGAAAUGUCCUUCAGUUCUUUAAAUUAGUUUUAGUUAGAAGCCUAUUUUGUUAGAUAUUAAGGUAGCUAC